CACCAACAGACCUCCCGUCGCAGGGGUCCUCCAAAAGGAAAGACCCAAGAUACUGCAGCCACAAAGUCUCAUGAGUCAAACGAAUUCCUGAGACAAACACAGAAGGAAGCACAGGGAGGACAAGUGACGGACCAAACAUCUCUGCAAAAGGAGGUACAUUCCGGAGGAAGCAGUGGCUCAGUGGCAAGCUCUGCUGCAGGAAGGAAGGCAAUGCCAGGCACGGGCACAGGCACAGGAGGUAAUUGCUGUGCCGGGCUCAGCCGGGCUCAGCCCUCGGCGGGGCUGUGUGGCAGCAGCUCUUCCCCCAGGCCCUGCCCUUGCACGGCCCGGCAGCAGCCAAAGCUGGAGGCGCCUCGGCUUCCAGGCCUCUGGAGCUCGUUCACAGCC